AAAAACUGGUCUUGAACAAGCCAUUACAUUAGACAUUAUAUUGGCAUGCAGCAUUGAUUUAAGAGAAUUAUACCCUUCUGACACUGUAUGAAAUGAAUAGCUUACUUUUGGUGCAUUCAAAGACACUUAGGGGACAUUUGAAUUUUGAGAGUUGGCUUGUGUUUACAAGCUGUGUAAACUGACUAAACUUGAUUCACGUUGUCCAGCCUUACAUUUUGUUCAUAUUAGCUAAUUUGUCUUUAGGGAGGGAUUUUUUUUUGUGUUGCCCUCACUAAUCAGUAGCGAAUGGUAGUGAACGCUGGAAAACACUCCCCCAUUGCUGCUCUUGAACAUAUCCUUUGCCAGUUCACUUGAUCCUCCUGUCCUAUAAAUCAGGGCCAGGGGUAUUUAAAACACCUGUUGGCACGUACCAUGAUUGUAGGUCGCUCCACUCAUACUACAGCGGUAUGUGGCCUCACACUUUGUUUGCUUUAGAGAGAAACUGCGUUAUGAAGGGUUUGAUAGGUGUAGGUACUGUUUUAGUUUCGGUGCCAGGUUAUUCCAGUGAGGCUUUCUGGUUGUAAACCUUUUCAUGCCACUUUCAUUAGUAGCGCCUGGACAACUGUUCAGUUGUUUUGCUGUACAUACACAUUGAGGAUAAUUCUAUAUAUCGUGUUAAUUAAUCGGUAUGUCCACACCUGCUUCUGUUUUUGCCUAGUUUUGUCUUUGUUUUAAAUGCCUGCCAUAUGCUAACAUUGUUUACACAGCUUGGAACCGUUUUAAAAUACCGUCUUACAACAGGACUUACAACAACCAGUACAACUUAUAUUGCGGUCGACUUUUUUUUUGCAUUUGUUUUUCUUGGAUUUAGCUGGUUAGCCAGCUAGUUAAGUAAGCUAGUUCUGUGAGGAAAAAGCAAAUCAUUUGUGCCUACAAAUCUCUAAUUGGUCAAUUAUUUUUUUGUUUUUUUUUCAGCCGUCAGAAAUAAAAGUCAAACGACACUAAACAAAUCAAAGAUGUGGUGUCAAAGAUUAAAAGAUGUGGACCCAGGCCAAUGCUCAACAGAACAAAGGGUGAUUACGACAUUCACUUCAUCAACAGAAAACUGCAGGAAGCUCCAGGUUAUGAUGCAAAAGCAGCAGCACAUCUGCAGGUCCUGACAGAUAAGCAGGUUCAAUCAGUCGGUGACCUUUGACCUCUGUCAGACAUGUCCACAUGCAGCAGGCCCUGGCUGGUUCAAACUUAAAGAAAUGGUUCAAGUUGAGAGGAUCGAUUCCAUGACAACAGGCUUAGCUUUAAGACUGGAAACGGCAGAAACGGCUAGCCUGGUUCCAUCUAAAGGGUCGCUGGGGGCUGGAGCCAAUCCCAGCUGAUAUUGGACAAGAGUGGGGUACACCCUGGACAGGUCAGUAAAACAGUAUAAAGUAGAAAAAGGUACCUGAAAACUGUACUUGAGUAAAUGUACUUAGUUACAUUUCACCACUGUUACCCCAUAAAUAUUAAGAAUACUAAAUGUGUUUUACAUUAAGAACAUAGAGCAUCCAUGUUGUUAGCAGACCACUAGAGGGCAGUGUUGUAUUGAUUAUUGAAGCUGCUGGAUUUAGUGACCCAGGAAUGCACUUAACUCUCUUGAAGCCCCUAAGUGGGAUUUGGGGGGGGGGGGGGGGGGCAAUGGUGUGUGUGAUCAUGAAAAU